rnacentral:tRNA from 1 species
GGGGCUGUCGGCUAGCUUGGUCUAGGCUCUUAGCCUCGGACGCUAGGGACCCCGGUUCAAAUCCGGGCAGCCCCA